rnacentral:misc_RNA from 1 species
GAUGAAGAACGCAUCGAAAUGCGAUAAUUAAUGUGAAUUGCACAAUUCCGUGAAUCAUCGAGUCUUUGAACGCACAUUGCGCCUCAUGGCAUUCCGUGAGGCAUGCCCAUCUCAGCGUUAGAAAAUAUUCUCAAAUUUUAGUUUUGUGCUAAAAUUUGGAUCAUGUCAAGGAAGCUAUUACUAUUAUUGUGAUCGCUCUUUGGAAAUUGAUAGGUCUUUGAGUUGCUACUCAUAGAACGUGAUGAAUCUUUCUUCGUUCUGUUGUAAUUCACUCUGGUAGUCCUAAAACUUGUAUGCCUGUGGCAUAUCUUGUAAUUUGACCUGAGAUUGGGUAGGGAUACCCGCUGAACUUAAGCAUAUCAAUAAGCGGAGGA